CCUACGGGUGGCAGCAGUGAGGAAUAUUGGUCAAUGGGCGGAAGCCUGAACCAGCCAAGUCGCGUGAGGGAAUAAGGCCCUACGGGUCGUAAACCUCUUUUGCCGGGGAGCAAGGGCGGGGACGUGUCCCGGCCCGGAGAGUACCCGGAGAAAAAGCAUCGGCUAACUCCGUGCCAGCAGCCGCGGUAAUACGGAGGAUGCGAGCGUUAUCCGGAUUCAUUGGGUUUAAAGGGUGCGCAGGCGGGCCUUUAAGCCGGCGGUGAAAUCGCGGGGCUCAACCCCGCCGAGCCGUCGGAACUGGGGGCCUUGAGUGCGGCGGAGGCAUGCGGAAUGCGCGGUGUAGCGGUGAAAUGCAUAGAUAUCGCGCAGAACCCCGAUUGCGAAGGCAGCGUGCCGUGCCGCCACUGACGCUGAGGCACGAAAGCGCGGGGAUCGAACAGGAUUAGAUACCCCAGUAGUC
rnacentral:rRNA from 1 species